GCUGCAUCAUAGGUCGAUUGCUAAUUAACUGACUUACCAUGUUAAAAUUAUAUAUUUAGUUUUAACAACAUAAGUCGGUUCUAGAAAUGACAUAUGAUGCUAGAUCAUAUGUUGGUUGAUAUUAGAUCAUAUGUUGGUUGAUAUUGGACUGAUAUCAUGUUAAAAUUAGGAUGGAAAAAAAAGCACAUAUAAAAUUAAGUAUGCCGCCCAUACUCUUAUUCUUCACUGUAUAGCCCCGCGAAAUUUUUUUUUCUUGUCUUCUUCGUUCCGCCAGUAACCCAAACUGCAGCAACUCCCCCUCCUCAACUCUGGUCGGAAACAGCUCCUUCCCAUUCUGCCAGUAAUACGGAUUCUCCUCAACUCCGGAGAGUGCAAAGAUUGAAGCUGCAAGGAACGAUUCCAAAAGAAAUUACAACUUCAAAAUUCUUGACAUAUUUGAAGAUCAACUUGAAUCACUUUUCAGAGACUUUGCCAGCAUUCUUGGGAAACUUUUAUGUAAUAGAACAAAUAAGAGGAAGAAGAAAUUGAGAUGCUUUUGGAAAACUACCUCCAAAGUGUCUUUCAACAUUUACGCACAAAUAAUGCACAAAUUAAGGAAGUCGCGUGGAGAACAGUUAAGUGUCCUCGUCAACCAUUACAAUCAUUACAAUGUGGGUUCUAUGUUAUGAGGAUGAUGAAGGACUUUGUGACAAAUGAGUUUUCAAUGCGAUGGCUAACUAGUAAUUGUGGCGGGAAGAACUAUUACACAAAGGAUGAGAUCAAUGAAGUACGUGAAGAAUGGGCACAAUGCGUCAUGGAUUUGAUGAGUACUACAUAGGUAAGGUAAAAGGAAUGCUAGAAAAGCGAUGAGUUGGAGCCCUUCGGUGGCAGUGUGUAUAUAUGCGGCUGCUUGACCACCACGACCUAGGAUUUCUCAGAGGAACUAGGGUCGUAUCCCUUAUUUUGUCGCAUAGGCCGGCAGGUUGUAACGUUUGACUUGUAUAUAACCUUUUCAACAUUUGUUUGUAUCAUUUUGGGAUCCCAUGUACUUAGUAAAUGUUUAAAUGAAAAGUCAACGUUUCCUUUGACCAACAAAUUGAACCCUAACCCUUGACAUUAACCUUAGUUGCACGUUUAUAACCAAAUGACUUGAUUAGCAAGUCUGGUACUAUUUAAAGUACACAGUGUAAUGAUACUGGA